rnacentral:rRNA from 1 species
GAACUGAAGAGUUUGAUCCUGGCUCAGAUUGAACGCUGGCGGCAUGCCUUACACAUGCAAGUCGAACGGCAGCACGGGAGCAAUCCUGGUGGCGAGUGGCGAACGGGUGAGUAAUACA